rnacentral:rRNA from 1 species
UACGUAGGCAGCAAGCGUUGUUCGGAGUUACUGGGCGUAAAGGGUGCGUAGGUGGCUCUAUAAGUAUGGUGUGAAAUCUCCCGGCUUAACUGGGAGGAUGCGCCGUAGACUGUGGGGCUAGAGUGUGGGAGAGGAAAGUGGAAUUCCUGGUGUAGCGGUGAAAUGCGUAGAUAUCAGGAGGAACACCGGUGGUGUAAACGGCUUUCUGGACCAUAACUGACACUGAGGCACGAAAGCGUGGGUAGCAAACAGG